CAUGAAUGAUGACCCUUUAACAACCUGACCAUUCGUGGAGGUAAAAACUGAUUUAAUGAGUCUGACAU